rnacentral:rRNA from 1 species
AUUGAACGCUGGCGGCAGGCCUAACACAUGCAAGUCGAGCGGAUGAAGGGAGCUUGCUCCUGGAUUCAGCGGCGGACGGGUGAGUAAUGCCUAGGAAUCUGCCUGGUAGUGGGGGAUAACGUCCGGAAACGGGCGCUAAUACCGCAUACGUCCUGAGGGAGAAAGUGGGGGAUCUUCGGACCUCACGCUAUCAGAUGAGCCUAGGUCGGAUUAGCUAGUUGGUGGGGUAAAGGCCUACCAAGGCGACGAUCCGUAACUGGUCUGAGAGGAUGAUCAGUCACCGGGGAAGUGAGACACGGUCCAGACUCCUACGGGAGGCAGCAGGGGGGAAUAUGGGAGAGGGGGCGAAAGAGUGAACCAGCCAUGGCGGGUGUGUGAAGAAGGUCCUCGGAUUGGAAAGCACUUUGAGUUGGGAGGAGGGGAAGUAAUUAAAGCCGUUGGUGUUUUGACGUAACCAACAGAAAAACCACCGCUUAAUUUGGU